UUUUUAAAGUGUCUUGUAUUUAUCUCAG
rnacentral:piRNA from 1 species